rnacentral:lncRNA from 1 species
AGUUGUUUAGUGUCAGCUACUGUCACCGGACAAUGAAUAGAAAAUGUUUGUCUCUAUUCCUCUUCUCCCUCUCCCCAACUCCAGCCUACUGCGGUUCAUCCAGUAAGCGAUGGAUCAAUAUUUGCUGCAGAGAUUGUCUGAGAGGCCCUUGCAUCUGCACUUGGAGAACAAUGACCCCUAAUCGCCAUCAUAAAGAAGCCACGCCCACACGGUGAGCGCAUAAUGGCCUCUCACUGGGCACUACCAGAGGCAAGGCCUGCUGUCUUCUCUACUCCCACCUAGUAACUGGAUGGCUGUAGAUGUGGAGAGAAGUAGCGCCUAGUGGCCCGGAGAAACAAGUAGAAAUAGCGCCUGGAGCGGAGUCAGCCCCACGCCUACCCACCCGUGCACGCGCGGCAGGAGCAGAGUUGGGCCUCUGACUAAAUCUGUUUUUUGUGUUUUCUUGGAAACUUGUCUCCGAAAAGUCUGUCUGGAGUCACCCUUGCUUCCAGAAAGGAUGUGAAGAAAGUAGGAGCCUUUUCACCAGACAAUAAUUGGACUCCAGUUCCCUCAUGUGGUAGUAGUAAAUCCGUCCACCUACUGUGCGUGAGAAACAGCCGAGAGGGGAGGGGAGCUACUGAAUGUUGCGGGACCCUGAAUGCAUCAGAAUUCCAGUGUGUUAAGAGACGAAGCAAGCUGGUCCUCUCUGCCCACCGUAACAUCAGCUUAUCCUUCUGUCUCCUGUCUGCGGUGGAUGUUGCUCUCACUCCAUCCAGAUUUCAAAGCUUCCCUGCCUGGCAUCCAAGUGGUGCUGAAGCUUUAACCCUCUGGUCUUCUGGAGCGCCGGGUCCUACAGCUCGGGUGGACGUGGAUUCAAGGUUCAUCUGAACCCAGAUGCCCCGCUUUGGUGUAAAGCUUUUCCAGUGCGACUCCAUGGAGUGAUACAAACAUAGCAAUAUCAUUUCAAAUACUUAAAAUGGAUGGACCACAAACUUGGCUGUACGCAAAGAGUAUAAUACAGACUUGGCUGGUGCCCAGCUGGCCUUUCUGGUGACCACUUCCCAUGUGACUAUGUCUUCUGUUGGACCCAGGAGUGGCUCAACUCAUGGUGUGCUCCAAAGAACCCACUCUCAAUAAAGCUGACCUCCAUCUCUUGUGACUCCCCAGCCAAACCUCCUAAGUGGUCACUGAGCAGGGCAGAGGGUUGGUAUUCGUCUAAUGGAAGCCGCCCUACUCGAAAGCCACAAGCCUUUCUCUUUUUUUUUCUUAACAAAUCGACAUUCAUUUCUGCUGCACCUUGGUCUGUAUUUCAUCUUCUCUGGGAUGGGCCCACAUACAUGCAAGCUACUGCUAGGGUGGCUUUGGUCACUUUCAAUCAGGCAAGACAUCUAUACAUGUAAUAAAUUAUACCCACAGUCUUCAUAACAUUCGUCUUCUUGAUACAAAAGAAUAAAGAUCAGAGUGCAAUAGGCACACCCCAAAAUUAUUAACUAACG